GGAGGAGGAGGAGGAGGAGGGGGAGGAGGAGGAGGUGCUUGAGGUAAAGUUCAGCAGAGCGACGAGGAGACAACAAAGAGAAGAGAGGAGAACGACUUUGAAUUAAAAAGUAUAAUCAAGAAAACAAGUGUGGGGAGAGAGAGAGAGAGAGAGAGAGAGAGAGAGAGAGAGAGAGAGAGAGAGAGAGAGAGAGAUCGGGGGAGAGGGAGAGGGAGAGAGAGAGAGAGCUCAUUGGAAAUAAAUUAGGAGGGGGAGAGAGUUGCAAAGAGGGGGAGGCUAAGGAAGAGGAGAGAGCAAGUGGUGUGACGGAGUGGGGGGCAGGGGGGGGGGGUUCAGGAGAGAAAGGGAGAAGAAGCGAGGAGGACAAAAGAAGGAGGCAGAGGAGAAACCCGGCUCUUCCUCAGAUCUCGGAGGGAGAGGAUCGCAACGGCUCAGUGAGCGCUGCUAAUGUCUGCCUUGUGACCAACCUGAGCGAGGACUCUACCUCUCCUCCAUUCUUCAAGGUGGAGUCCUCCACCUUCUCGACCCUCUUACCAGGAACAACCCAUAGUGAGAGCCAGUCAUGCUGGUUAAUGAUUGGAGCAGUUGGUUGACGGUUAAGGGAUUGCCAAACGUAAUCGAUUGGUCUAACAGCAACAAUCGCUUUCAACAGCUAGGAACACGACCAGAAUCUAAUUUCUCAUGUAGCGAUUGUUGAGCGGGCCAGGGGAGAAAUAGGCUGUUUGUGAGGCCAACGAGGUGCGAGUAGUGACUGGUAAUGACUGUACUUGAGCUUUCUUAUGCUUUAAUUACGCCGGACUGAACUGAAAACCGACUUUCUUUUCAUUGUUAUUAUCUUCAAAUCUAAAAAUAUUUAAAAAAAAAUUGAGAUUUUGAUGCCGAUUUCUUAGCGCAAAAGUAUUAUCUGUGUGUACCAGACUGCCCAUCAAGUAUUUCAGAAGAUGCUCAGAUGCUCUUUGACCGCAUGAUAUGGUCAUUGCCUCUGUCAUAGUAUAAAUGCACAGAGCUCCCCCUUUUAAUGUAUUUAAAACUGCAGUUCACUGAUUCGAAUGAUCGAGGAGAGAAAAAGCACAACAGUGUUCUCCUUAAUUCGAUCAAGACUUAUUUCCAUGAAACGUGAAAAGGCCCUCCAUUUUGGAGAAUUAGAUAACGGCCUGCAGGUUGCCGUGACCCUUGGGAUAAUCAGUGUUAAUGCCCUAAUGGGGGCUGGGAGAUUGGAGCUUGUGUAAAUGUACUCGCUGUUCCUCCCAGUGACCCCAGCAGCCUCCAGCCGGCCAGCGGCAGCAGGCAGGGGAAAUAAUAGCUAACCUGGCCCUCGUGUGAGCGAGGAACCGCAGCCAAAACGUCUGCCAGGAAACUACACUAUCCACUCGUACCUGGUUAUGAACAGCAGUUUCCACUGGGAGGGGGUUCUUCUACAGCCACCUUGGUAGAGGGACAACUGGGUAAGGGGCAUAGGGUAAGAUAUAGAUAGAAAGAAUGUGUGGACAGAGAGAGAGAUAAGGAAGGAGGAAGGAUUGCAGGUUGUCCAAUAAGGGCAGAAGACAGAAUAAAAAAAAUGAAAGAAAGAAAGAAAGAAAGAAAGAAAGAAAGAAAGAAAGAAAGAAAGAAAGAAAGAAAGAAAGACAGUAACAGGUCCUUAUUAAAGCAGCAGCUGAAGCACAUGAACAGCCCACCACACAAUCAGAGUGUGUGUGUGUGUGUGUGUGUGUGUGUGUGUGUGUGUGUGUGUGUGUGUGUGUGUGUGUGUGUGUGUGUGUGUGUGUGUGUGUGUGUGUGUGUGUGUGUGUGUGUG